AAGUCGUAACAAGGUUUCCGUAGGUGAACCUGCGGAAGGAUCAUUAAAGAGACGUUGCCCUUCGGGGUAUACCUCCCACCCAUUGUUUAUUUACCUUUGUUGCUUUGGCAGUCCCGGCUUCGGCCCACCGGCUCCGGCUGGUCAGUGACUGUCGAAGAUACCAAAACUCUGUUUGUUAAUAUUGUCUGAGUACUAUAUGAUAGUUAAAA
rnacentral:misc_RNA from 1 species